CAGUCACGUGGCAGGAGCGCAGCCGUUGCGUUGUUGGUCACGUGGCAUAAAAAACGUUACCUCUUUUCGAGUCCUUGGUCAUGUGAUAGUGGCUUACGCAGAGGGUUCCUUAGCCACGUGACAAGGACUUCGGCCCGUCCCUUUGCUGUAUUGGUAGGCCUGCGUCAUGUGAUGUGGUAGCCACUCUUUUUUUUUUUUUUUAAAUGGCGAUUUUAAGCGGCAUUACCACAUGACGGAGGUCGAGGGGCGGAGUCUCUCCCGCUGCGAGUUUAUGCGCCUGCGCGGCUGCCAUCUUACGCCAGUCGCUCCGUGUACGUUGGCGGAAACGGCUCGUAGAGCCCGGCACAGGCCGAGAAGACCCGAGAUGCGGGUGUCAGUAACAGCCGGACACAUCUUGUUGCUGCUCCUGGACCGGCGCUGGUGAGCGCUUCAGUUCCUUGGUCCUGCAAACCCCACAGUGUAGCGUCUAGUCCUGCACACCCCGCAGUGUAGCGUCUGGCCGCUCUGCCGGGCCCGGCGUCCAAAGGGCAGAGCCGAGCUGCUAGGGAUCUUCUAGUCCUUUCACAGCUCAGACCUCACCUCUCCGGACACUUAACUCCCCAGGUGAUCUCAGCCAGCCCCAUGACCUCAAAGACCAUCAAAACACUGACAUUCCUGAUUAAAUGCCUCCAGCCUGGGAUUCUCCUGUGAAGUCCCGACACAUCCAGCCACCUACCUACAUCACCGCUUCCCUUGGAGACUUUGUAUAAAGGAGUUCCAAAAUACACCGACCUGCCCGGAUCCCUUCAGCUCUGCUAGAUCCUGCCUUUCCCCGGGCUUUGUGGGCUUUUCCACAACCGCCUGCACACCAGCUCUUCUUCAGAGAACUACCCUGGGCUCGGGACCACGAUGCCAACACUGUCAAGAAGAUCAGACUGGGGCACACGGACACUUUGCCUCCGCACCCACGAGAGUCUGACGUACCUGGGAUUGUAAGCUCCUGGGCCACCUUUAGUCCAGUUCAGGACUGCUCUGAGAAGUCACUUAUCCUCUCCAGCUCCCUGCAGGCUCAGUCUCUGCAUGCGGCAGCCAGAGUUUUGAGAUUGCAUGGAAGACUGGGAACUUAAACGCCGGCAUAGGCUGAUACACCAGUAACAGUGGUUCGCGCUGCACUUUGCCCAGGCCAGGUUGUGACAAGUGCCCUGAGAAAAAUAAAGAGUGUGAUGUGUGGUCGUCACCCAAGAGGAUCCAGUCUUCGAUGAGCCCAGAAGGCUUCCUGCAGGAGGUGAUCCCUGAGCUGAAAGCCAAAGGCCAAGGAGCUAGCCAAAGAGCCAGAUGGGGAGCAUUUCAGGCACAAGGGGGAGCCGACGGGGCAGAAGAGGCAGGACCUCAAGGGCUGCACUGAAGACUUCGACUACUACGCUGAAUAAGUUCAAACAUCAAGUCCUCAGAUACCGCCUCCUCCAAAAAGCUGCUUAUGACAUCUGGACCCUGUUUUAUGCUCUCCUAGCACCGCAUGCCUGUCCCCUGAAACCUUCCUCUGGUUGCAAUUUUAUGCAUGUUUAGGGCAUGACAGGCAUAAUGCCCUCAUCCCCACUAGACUGUGUCUGUCCCACUUACGGCCACACCCCCAACAAUCUGGAGACUCACAGGCCCUUGGCAGAUAUCUAAUAAACAUUUACAGACUGAAAUGAGUGGACCAAGGGGAGAUUAAAUAACUUGCCCAAACUGACUCAUCUUAGAGUGAGCAAAUAGAGAACUCAGAUAAAAAUCUAGGUCACGGGGCUCCAAGGCCUGCAAUGUUCUCAAGGUGAUGACAUUACCCCUUCAGGGCCUCACCACCUCCCUGUCAUCCCCACCUCUGCCCCCCUACACCAGUCUCCUCACUGUUCCUGGCAUAGGUCCGCCUCAGGGCCUCUGUAUUUGUUGAUCCCUGUGCCCAGAGGCUCCCUGUAUCUCCUUCAGAUCUUAGAUCUGACAUCCACAUCCAUGGUGAAGACACCUGGCCUUCCAUAGCUGUCCACAUCCUCCACCACAAGCUCUAACAGUUCCCUGUACCACUCCUCUGCGGCACAGGCACAGACUGGCAUGGAUCAGUUCAUAAUCACACACCCACCCAGGUCACUGUUCACGGAGGUCUAUUUGCCUCUGAAAGGUAAUGUCCUCUUGAAAGAAGCCCUUCCUCUCCCCGGGGCCUGGUAGACAGUAGGUGCUUACUACAUGUCUGUGGACUAAAUAAGUCAGUCAUCAAUCCCCCACCUCUGACCUCCAUCCCUAUGUGUCUAGUCAAGAGACCAGGAGACCCCAGCACCUCCCUCUCCCUGGGAGAUCCCAUCCCCGAAGAUCCAUACCAGUAUA